GCCGGAAUUGCUAGUAAUGGCAGGUCAGCAUACUGCCGUGAAUACGUUCCCGGGCCUUGUACACACCGCCCGUCACACCAUGAGAGUUGGGGAUACCCGAAGCCUGUGAGCUAACUAUUUAUAGGAGCAGCAGUCGAAGGUAGAAUCAAUGAUUGGGGUGAAGUCGUAACAAGGUAGC
rnacentral:rRNA from 1 species